AAAUGUUGCUAAACAGGGAGCUCCAGGCUGCUGAAAUCUAUCGGAAGCCAGGAAGCCGCAGGAGAUGUGUGAAACGGUACAGCUGUGUGCAGGAGGGMUGUUUGGAGGGCAAGUGGAAAAGAUUAGCAGUAACAUCACAGAAAUAGAAGGGUGAUGACUAAAUCCUGAGCUUUCCUUCCUUAUUCUCUGGAGUCCUGGCUACAGAUAUUCUCCUCUCCAGUGUUUGUUUUGAAAUCUUGGAAAAUAUACUUAAAAAAAAAAAAUCUUGUUGCAUGCCCAGGCACAUCCAAACUUUCCACUUAUUCUCGGACAUUGGACACUGGCACUGUUCUGAGUUGAAAAAAGACACCAGGGCUGGACAAGGGGAAGGAAGUCUUGCAGCACAGUUCAGUGUUUAUAUUUCUGUCUCCUUGUACUCAUGUGUUAACAAUAUUACAAAUGUAUUUUAUCUUUUAAUAUUAAUAUAAUUGUGUAUGGCACUUUACAAGUAAAUUUAGGCAGAAAGCCUGACAUCGAUUUUAUUUUAUAUUUAUUUUCAGUACAAGAAAUAGGAACAGUCUGAGCUGAGGUCAUCUAAUCAGGUUAUGUGACCACAAUUAAACUGUCAAUGGACUGCCACAGCUGAGUGAAGUGUUGGGGAAAGUUCCUACCACUGCAGCCUAAAGCAUCUGCCACGUGCCCACAUCAGACACAUCUGUAUCCUUCUGCAGACACAUCUGUAUCCUUCUGGGAGUGUUCCAGAGAGUUUUCCAGACCUUAUUUAAUUCACUGUGAAGAAGAGCCAGCUGCUGGAAAGAAACAGGCUCUGGCUGCACAUCACCAUGUCAUGAAGAGGAGGAAAGCAAACUGUCAAAAMUGAAUGACAUCUGCAUGUGAAGUGAUCCAAUGACGUAUCCUAACGGUCUAUGUCUUUUCUUUUAAAAACUCUAUUGGCACCAGCAAAUUGMAUCUUUCUCUCUGGAAAAAUACUCAGAAACUGGGGAAAUAACUAGCAUUUUAAAAAGCUCAGUUUUACAAGUAAUUAAUGGUUUAUAAGAGCUGUAACGUUUGACUUUAAUUGAGUGUGUGUGCGUUUUGUUUUAACCAGAUGGUUAGAAAAUGAUUGGACUAUAAUGUAUGUAAACAUUGGCUGCAAGCCUUGUUAAUGGCCUGCUAUCCAGGUGUUGAUCUGUGGAAGGUGAGACUCUUGAAUAUUACUUUCCGGUGCCAACUGUAGCCUUUCCCUAGUCAAUGCUGAGGAGCCUGGA